rnacentral:rRNA from 1 species
GACGAACGCUGGCGGCGUGCUUAACACAUGCAAGUCGAACGGAAAGGCCCUGCUUGCAGGGUACUCGAGUGGCGAACGGGUGAGUAACACGUGGGUGAUCUGCCCUGCACUUCGGGAUAAGCUUGGGAAACUGGGUCUAAUACCGGAUAGGAGCCAUCUUUAGUGUGGUGGUUGGAAAGUUUUUUCGGUGUAGGAUGAGCUCGCGGCCUAUCAGCUUGUUGGUGGGGUUAUGGCCUACCAAGGCGGCGACGGGUAGCCGGCCUGAGAGGGUGUACGGCCACAUUGGGACUGAGAUACGGCCCAGACUCCUACGGGAGGCAGCAGUGGGGAAUAUUGCACAAUGGGCGCAAGCCUGAUGCAGCGACGCCGCGUGGGGGAUGAAGGCCUUCGGGUUGUAAACUCCUUUCGCUAGGGACGAAGCUUUGUUGUGACGGUACCUAGAUAAGAAGCACCGGCUAACUACGUG